UCCUCCCUCUUUCUUCGUGCUUCCCCCCUGCACGUCGACCGGAAAGGCCCUGCUUUUGUGGGGUGCUCGAGUGGCGAACGGGUGAGUAACACGUGAGUAACCUGCCCUUGACUUUGGGAUAACUUCAGGAAACUGGGGCUAAUACCGGAUAGGAGCUCCUGCUGCAUGGUGGGGGUUGGAAAGUUUCGGCGGUUGGGGAUGGACUCGCGGCUUACCAGCUUGUUGGUGGGGUAGUGGCUUACCAAGGCUUUGCAGGGUAGCCGGCCUGAGAGGGUGACCGGCAACAUUGGGAUUGAGAUACGGCCCAGACUCUUACGGGAGGCAGCAGUGGGGAAUAUUGCACAAUGGGGGAAGCCUGAUGCAGCAACGCCGCGUGCGGGAUGACGGCCGUCGGGUUGUAAACCGCUUUCGCCUGUGACGAAGCGUGAGUGACGGUAAUGGGUAAAGAAGCACCGGCUAACUACGUG
rnacentral:rRNA from 1 species